AACGUAGGAGACAAACGUUAUCCGGAGUUACUGGGCGUAAAGGGCGUGCAGGCGGUCUGUUAAGUUCGGCGUGAAAGCUCCCGGCUAAACCGGGAUAGGUCGUCGGAUACUGGCAGGCUCGAGGACAGUAGAGGCGGGUGGAAUUCCGGGUGUAGUGGUGAAAUGCGUAGAGAUCCGGAGGAACACCAGUGGCGAAGGCGACCCGCUGGGCUGUACCUGACGCUAAGACGCGACAGCAUGGGGAGCGAACGGG
rnacentral:rRNA from 1 species